rnacentral:rRNA from 1 species
UAACGUAGGGUGGCGAGCGUUAAUCGGAAAUUACUGGGCGUAAAGCGUGACGCAGGCGGUAAGUUAAGUCUGAUGUGAAAGACCCCCGGGCUCAACCUGGGAAUGGCAUUGGAAACUGGCUUGCUAGAGUGUGGCAGAGGGGGGGUGGAAUUCCGCGUGUAGCGUGAAAUGCGUAGAGAUGCGGAGGAACACCGAUGGCGAAGGCAGCCCCCCUGGGCCGACACUGACGCUCAGGCACGAAAGCGUGGGGAGCAAACAGG